rnacentral:rRNA from 1 species
AGUGAACGCUGGCGGUAGGCCUAACACAUGCAAGUCGAACGGCAGCACAGUAAGAGCUUGCUCUUACGGGUGGCGAGUGCGGACGGGUGAGGAAUACAUCGGAAUCUACUUUUUCGUGGGGGAUAACGUAGGGAAACUUACGCUAAUACCGCAUACGACCUACGGGUGAAAGCAGGGGAUCUUCGGACCUUGCGCGAUUGAAUGAGCCGAUGUCGUAUUAGCUAGUUGGCGGGGUAAAGGCCCACCAAGGCGACGAUCCGUAGCUGGUCUGAGAGGAUGAUCAGCCACACUGGAACUGAGACACGGUCCAGACUCCUACGGGAGGCAGCAGUGGGGAAUAUUGGACAAUGGGCGCAAGCCUGAUCCAGCCAUACCGCGUGGGUGAAGAAGGCCUUCGGGUUGUAAAGCCCUUUUGUUGGGAAAGAAAAGCAGCAGGUUAAUACCCCGCUGUUCUGACGGUACCCAAAGAAUAAGCACCGGCUAACUUCGUG